CAGCCAACAGUUUUCGGGGACCACUUUAUACAAUAGUACGACUAACACGAUAUCGAACUCGUUUUAUUCUAAUUUUAUGCCAGGAAGUAGUAACAUAAUGUCAACUAUGUCUAGUAAUUAUACAGGUGGACCGUUUACAAGCGAAUUCAUAGAUUAUAAUCAAGCAGACUGUAAUUACACAAACCAUAAGUAUGAAGAGUUAAAAAUGAGAAAUAACCCAACGGUGUUUCCUCACGAUAAAGUGCCUUCCAAUUAUAAAAGUUCACGAAGAGAAUCAGCAGCGAAGCAUAAAUUGGAGUGUUCCAAAAAGGAUUCUAGUAAAAAAUAUCAAAGUAAACGUGCUAAACUGCAUGCCGAUGCCGAGGAGUGGAAUGAUCCGUCUCAUAAUCUGUGGCAAAAUAAAGCUCCUAGCAAGAGGCACGCAAACUUGAUGUCAGAUGAACUGACGUUCCCGAAUUAUGUAGGAAACCAAAUGCCAACGCAAUAUCAGCCAGAAUUUUUCAAUAGCCAUCUCAUGCCGUCCAACAUGCAAAGCGUGGGGCACAACGUUGACAGGUCCAUCAGCUUCCCGGUUACUUCGCGCGCCAACUUCAAUCUCAGCACUAUAUUCCCUGAAAUAACUAUGAAAGUGCAGUAGAAUAAUGUGCAUCCGAGGAGCUACAGAAAGGAUUCAUUUAUGAUGUUGUAUACGCAAUACCAACCAUCUGUGAUUACUACUUUGUUAUUUAUUUAUAAGCACAUUAUCAUAUAAUUUUUAAAACUAUUGUAAGGAAUAAAUUGUUAUUUAUACAUGAGGA